UUCUGCUAUUCCUUUGUUAAUUUUCCAAGAAGUGCUGGUGUUGAAAUGUAGCAAUUUCGGAGAGUUAUGGGAAUGUUGGUGAAGAUUCUAUUGAAGACUUCAAAAGUUUAAUAUGAAUGAUUGUCCUUUUCAGAAAACGCAGGGCGAAGGGAACGAAAGACGAGAGUUGUUGAAGAUAUAUAGCCACAAUAUUCCUUGGAUUAACAUUGAUCACAAGUUCGUCUACCAUCCCUACGAGGAAGGAUGAUCUUCGAUUAGAUUCAAUCCUUUAAUUACAACAUUCUAUCCUUAUGCUCUUUUCAGGAUCCAACCAACUCUCGGAUACAAUAUGUCAACAUUGCAAUGGCACUAAUGAUCAAUUCAUGUUACUGAUGAGUGGAGUGGAGAAUAAGGAAGUUGUGACAGCUGAGCAUCAAUCGAUGUUGGUCUAUUGUCACUGAAACUCCACCAAGAAAAGCGCUUCACUGUCUUCCAUGAUGUGAAUCAGCCCCUCGUGUUUCAUUAGCGGCAUGGAGGAGAGGAAGAGGAGCAGCAGCAGAACUGUUUAGAGGAACUCAAAAUCCGCAAGUCCUUUUUGUAAAAGCCUGCCCCACUGUCAAGAUAUUAUCCGUUUUGGACACAACACGUUCUGAGAGCUUAGGAGCCUGUCCCAAGCGACGUGGGAUAUCACACUCUUCUUCUUGAUGCACAAUGAUACUACGAAGAAUAUGCUUCAAGGAUGAAUAUCUGGAGUUAUUCACAACUUCAAUUGUUGUUGAAAGUUUCUGCUACUGUCUCCACAAGCUUUUACUUUCUGCACUUCUUCCAGAGAUGUGAAUAGAGACGCAACAAAGAUUAUGCUUAGAAGUAGUUUCAGAAUCAGACUUGAGAACAUUUUGGUUGUACAAAUUAUAGAUUUACAUGAUUUUUGAUGUAUUUUACAUUUUCUUUCAAUUCCUGUAUAACUGCCUGCAGCUGCAUUUUCUUUUUAACUUCUUGUAAUAGAAUUUUUCCUGAGGGAGUUAGGCUCAUUAUGUCCCUUUUCGGGGUGUAGUCUUUUCUUUAAUCAAUAAAAUUUCAUCGUAUGGUCGA